UACGUAGGGACCAAGCGUUGUUCGGAUUUACUGGGCGUAAAGGGCGCGUAGGCGGCCCCACAAGUCACUUGUGAAAUCUCCGGGCUUAACUCAGAACGGCCAAGUGAUACUGCAGUGCUAGAGUGCAGAAAGGGCAAUCGGAAUUCUUGGUGUAGCGGUGAAAUGCGUAGAUAUCAAGAGGAACACCUGAGGCGAAGGCGGGUUGCUAGGCUGACACUGACGCUGAGGCGCGAAAGCCAGGGGAGCAAACGGG
rnacentral:rRNA from 1 species